CUGCUCAGUUUGGCAGCAAAUAUAUUGAAAUUGGAAUGGUACAGAAAAGACUGGCAUGGCCGCUGUGCAAGGUGACACAUGAGCAGAAGUAGCAUCAAAAUGU
rnacentral:snRNA from 1 species